ACGGAAAGAAGAGAAAGAACGAAAACAACGAAAACAACGGACACAACGGAAAAUUAAUAACAACGUCAAUAACGGAAAUAAUAACAGAAAUAACGGAAAUAAUAACAGAAAUAACGGAAAUAAUAACGGAAGCAACCUCCACAGAGACAGAAACAUACGGCAGAAAAUUAGGUGACUGGUCAAGAACAACAACGGAAACAACGGAAACAACGGAAACAACGGAAACAACGGAAACAACCUCCACAGAGACAGAAAC
ensembl:lncRNA